CAUCUACCUGGCCAUGAAGUCAGCUAUGAAAAAGAUCUUCCUUUGCAUCCUGACUCAUAUGACUUGCUCACUGGAGUGUUGUGUUUAUAUAACCUUGUCACUGUGAUUCUAGCUCCAUCUGGUCAGAUCAGAGGUUGGUCACAGGAGGAAGAGCACCUGUGCAUAAAAUGUUAUUUCUGAGCAAAGUGUCCAGGAAAAAGUUGCAAGGGAAAACCUCCAGGGGAAGUAAGAUCUUGACAAGGCUAAAAGACAGCUAUACAUGAAGAAAUGUCAGAUGACCAAGGGUUGAGGGUCAACCUUAAUGAUUUACACAAGAAAGCCAGAGUGACUCAAGCAAGGGAGAAAUCCCUGGAAUCUUCAUGAACUUUUGUCAAGGCCCCAGGAUUGAUACAGAAAACUGUCAUGUGAACUAGGAAGUGUAAUUGACACCAGUGAGAGGACCCCAGUGUCUUGCCAAAAAGCACAACACGAAGGACAAGAAGGAGCAGAAGUCCCAGCCAGCAGGACAGAGACAAGCGGCAUCAUUUAUCAUAUCAGAAGAAGAAAGGAGCGUCACCAGAGAACAGGAAAAAAGGACAUUUGAUUUUCAAGUCGAGACCCUAAGGACACUUGGCUCACAAACUCUUAGCCUCUACUUUAGGUCCAGAAGGAAAAGAAAUUCAUGGGAGACACUGAUUCUCAGAUUCAUCCUCAGUCAUGAGCAAGAGGGCUCCAGAUCUGAGAGCAUCCCCUCCAAUGGCAGAAAGCUUUGACUCACCCACCUGAAAAGCUGAAGUUGACCUGGAAGUCAUGCUGAGAGGAGGAGGAAGCGCCUCUUAUGUAACUUGAAGAGUAUAAAGGAUCCAAUGAUGAAAACCGCUGCCCUGAACUUUUCCAGAGCACAACAAAUCUCUGCAGAAGAUUCUCCUGUGGUUGCCAAGAUAACCUGGGAGUAAUGUGGAAAGAACACUGGAUUGGAAAUUGGUCAGGAUCCUGCUCUGGGUUUCUUCCAGGUCACCCCACCAAUAGGCAUCUGGUCUCAGAUUUAGUGAGAGACUUCUAUGUGCUGGACACUGUUCAAGAUCCUGAAGGUGGUCCUUGUAUGAAAAUUCAGCAACUGGUAUUCCAGAAACCAAAGCCCUGAUACUUACUAUUUUCUAAUUUCUGUUAUGUAAAAACUCUCACUGUAGCCAUUUUCAGGCUAUCCACAUUCUGCAUUACCUGGCAUAGUAAAGGUAGCAGCCUCAUCAUAUCUUGAUAAUAAUUAUCAAGAGGACUGUUUUAAAAUAAGCUGAAAAAAAGCUGAUGAUCUACAAGAGGAAAGUGUCUAAUAUAUACCCCCAAGUAUGAUUGUGUGUUGUAUAAAAACAUGGAGAUGCAGAGGGGUCUGAGAUGAUAACACUGGAUUUAAUAUGGAUACCUCUCAAUGAUGUGGGAUAGAAGAGAAGUCAGGCAACAAAGGUGCGACUUUUAAACUUAAUUAUAGUUGGAAUUUUCAUGAGCUACAAUUUUUAAAGAGAGAAUCUGCACUGCCCAUGUUGAACAAGCACAGCUCUCAUAUGAAACUGGUCAGAGAGUAAACAAAUGCACAGUGGAUACAAGGCAGUUUUCCUGAAUCACCACAGAUGGAGUCAUUGCUGAAUGAUUAAGUUACUUGCUGUCAAGAAAACAACAAACUGUUGAAAGAAGAUUUGCAGCUUGAAUGAGGCAUGGUAGCAACAUUUUGUCUCAGUUCUACUUGGCAUCAGAUGUGGUGACAGGAAGACCCAAGGGUGUAUCACCUGAACAACUCCCUCGUAUGUCUGGUGAUGGCACUCGCUGUUGGUUGAGGCCACCAGGGCACUGGAGCGGGAGCACCAAUCUGUGAGCCUUCCGUGGGGUAGAAUACAGUGGCUGGAUUCUCUAGGCAAGUGUCCCAAGACAGAGCCAAGGAGAAACCAUGUCAACUUUUAUAACCUAAUCUUGGACAUUAUACCACAUCAUUCUCUCCAUAUUCCCUUCGUAAAGGUAGUCACAAAGCAUUGCCCCAUUCCAAGGAGAGGAGAAGACUCUACCUCUCGACAGCAUGUAGCAAUUUCUGUAAGUACAGGUUGGGCUGAAAAUAUUAACAUGGUCAUUUUUUUGGAAAUUGCAGCUUGUUGCAGUAAGUUAAGUCAUCUCCCGGUCGACGUCAUCUACUCCCCAUAGCUGCAAAUAAGAAAAUAAGAAAAAUUAGCCAUAUCCUCUCAGCUGUGACAACAUAUUCAUACUGAAUCCUAACACCAAGUUUUGGGCUCCAAUCAGGCCACCACACUAGUAAACCAAGCCAUGUCUGGCAUUCCCAUCUUGCUCAUGGAAGACAUCAGUAAAAAGCCAGGGCAAUCCAGGCCAGACUCCACAAAAAGCCCAACAGCAAGAAGGUCUUCAGCAUAAACUCACAAAUUCUCCAGUAAAGGCAAACCAAGGGUGCAUAUUCUUCCCAGUCCUGCAAAAACAGCAGCUGAGAUAAGGUCAGAGCAGCAAUGGCCGCUGUGGGUGCCACAGUGUUAAGUGAGCACACGUGUGCCCACUGCACAUCAGCACUGCCUCUGAGCCAAGCGCCGCUAUUCCCAGAGCGUGAGCCCAGUGGUCCCGACAUUGCCCUUCUCAAUGGGGGAACCACGCUUCAUAGAUCACAAACCUUGGGAGAAAGGAACAGGGAGAGGCAUGGGAAGUGAAGACAACCUAGGCACAGAAUACAGCUACUGCAAGCAAAAGAAGUACAGUUCACGAUCAUCACUCCUCAAACAGGGAUUGAGUAUUAAAGUCCUAGACCUCCCUUCUACCUCGACCUAAUACUGAUGUAAACUAAGAAGAUAAAGAUAAAUCCCAACCACAUACAUACCCAUAAAUAGCUAUAAAUAAAGCAAUACGCAUGCCUAGGAAGUAAGGAACAUCUUAACACAAGGUGGAAAAGCAAAAUGAGGACAGAAGACCCAGGAUAACAAUUUGGCAAUGACUUCAAAAUAAUUUUUAAAAUGUUGAAUGAGAUGGGCCUUCCCUGGUGGUGCAGUGGUUGAGCGCUGGGCUGAGAAGCUGCCCGCAGCCUCUGCAGCGCUGGUUCAAUACCCGGCUGCUAGUGAGGGUCCCACAUGGCGCGCAGACCUCUCCUGCUGCGCCCGCUGCUCUCCUCAGCAGUGUAUUUCAUCAGUCUGCCUGUUCUGUUCCCUGCUCUGGCUCUGGUGAAUUCUCUCAUUCUCCCGUGCUUCUGACUGUACCCAGUGCUUGUAUAAAUCUUUUAAAAAAAAAAAAGUUAAAUGAGAUACUGGAAGGCCAGUCAGAGGCAGAUAGGCAGAUGCAAGAUCUCAGAAAGCAGAUCCAGGAACAAAGAGUUCUUAAGAGGUCGAAUAUAUAAAAAGACCACAGGAAGUUUCUGAAUGAAAUGUAGAUAGACCAAAGCUUUAAACAGAAUCAAAAUGGCACAAGUAUUUCAAUUGUAGAAGACUCAAAUGAAUAAAUUAUACGUUUAGAAGAAGAGAGAGACAAAGGAAAAAUAAGGAAACUGAGAAAUAUCAGACUCAUUUAGAACAGGAAACCUAUGAAUGAUCGGACUCCCUUAAAAGGGACAAAAAAUAGGACUAGAAACUAUUCCAAAAAAUAAAUGAGAACUUCGCAAACCUAGAAUGAAUUAAAUAUGGAAAUAGAACAAGCAGAGAGAACACCUAACUUAGAUGCAAAAUGAUCGACACCCAGACACAUUGUCACGGAAGUAUCACAAAUCAAAUGCAAAGACAAAGUUUGCAGGAAGCAAGGGGAAAAAACCAUAUGGAUUCCCAAAUUAGGAUUUCCUAGAAAUCUGUCCAGACAUUCUCCAAGCGAGAAAAGAGUGGAAGAACUAUACAUAAUCCUAAAAGAUGAGGGGGCCUCCCUGGUGGGGCAAAGGGUUAAGCACCACACCAUGAAGCAAUCGGCAGCCUCUGCAGCACAAGUUUGAUCCCUGGCCUGCCAGGGAGCAACCCACAUGGCGUGGCAGACCUCUCCUGUCUUGCCUGCUGCUCCCCUCAGCAGUGUAUUUCAGUCAGUCUGCCUUUUCUGUUCCCCACUCUGUCUCUGGUGAAUCCUCUCACCCCCCACAUCUCUGGUAUGUACCCCAGCUCUUGUAUGCAUAAAUAAAUAUUUUUUAAAAAAUCCUAAAAGAUGAGAACUGUUAGCCAAGAAUUAUCUAUCCUGCAAAAUUAUCAAUUAAGUAUGAAGGAGUAAUAAGGAUUUUCACAAACAAGUUAAUGGAGUUUUUCACCAUCAAUACUAAAAGGAGUUCUACACAAAAGAAAAACAAGCACAAACUCCUUAGCAAAAUGAUGAGAGCAAUGUAACACCAGCUCUAAGAGCAAAAAUACUAUGAAUUAAUAACACCAAAUACUAAGAGGGAGGAAGGAAUGGGUAGUAUCAGUAUAGUUAAAUGUCAGAGAGCAGCUCACAUAAAGGACCUAAAACAUAGGAAUUCAAGUAAAACCCCCUUGGUAACUACUCACAAAACAAAAACAAACAAACAAACAAACAAAAUACACCAGGAUACCAACAGAUGAAGAUGCAAAUAAAUUGAUGGAAAUACUAUGGAAAGCCAUCCAGAAGCAGCAGAGUGAAACAAAGAAAAACAGAAAAUUAAAUAAUCAAAACCAAAACAACUGAAAAAAUGGCUGAAAAUCAAAAGUUCUUAUCAGUAAUCACUGUAAAAGUGAAUAUUCUGGAUUCACCAAUAAAAAGACAUAGGCCAACAAUGUGAGUGAAAAAGUUCCAGCCAUCAAUACUUUGUUUACAAGAGACCCAUUUAAAACUGAACGACAAAACAGACUAAAAAUAACAGGCUGGAAUAAGGCCAUACAUACUAAUAACUCAGUAAAUCAGGAACUGCUAUUCUCAUAUCCAAUAAACCAGAUUUUCAAUUAAAAAAGGUAAUAAGAGACAAAGCUGGACACUAUAUAUAAUGAUCAAGGGAACAACUCACCACGAAGAUAUAAGUCUUAUUAUUUGUGCUGCAAAUGUAGGAGCACCUAGUUAUAUAAAGCAACUAAAACAAUAUAUCAACAACUAGACUGAUGGAUGAAGAGCACUGUUUAUCUCAUUUAGUUUGUUCCCUUGCAUCUUACUUGAAGAUUAGAACCAAAGUCUUACAGAGGGCAAUAAAUUUAAUAAUUUAAGCCCUAUCAAAUUCUUCACAGCAUCUCCAUGUAUUUUAUUGGCUUUUAAAAUGGAAAAUUUUAUCCUUUAAUUGUGUCCUCAAGAACACAGGACUGAGGGAGUGAAGUUCACCGUGUUCUUUUGGUUGAAUUGUAAUGUUCAGUUGUAAGGACUGACAACAACACAAAGGUGACAUGUGCCCUGAGGGCUGUGUGUGUGCUGGGGGAUGCCAACCUCCCAUUUGCACCAUGAUGGGACUGAAAUAACCAACAGCUCUCAGACUCAGCAGUUGGCCUGGGUCAUGCAAACACCUGGAUUUCUACAACUGGAGGAAAAAUCACUUCCUUCUCAAUCACUCAUUUUCAUUAUUUCACCCAUAAUUUCACUCUUGUUUAGUGCAUUUUCCCAUCUAUCCUCCCAUCAUCCAUUCCUCUACUACUUACAAUUCUCUCUUCCUGUUAAGGGUUGAAUUGUUCUCCCUCCACUUCCCACAAUAAAAAAGAAGAUAUA